rnacentral:rRNA from 1 species
AGCGAACGCUGGCGGCAGGCCUAACACAUGCAAGUCGAACGAAGUCUUCGGACUUAGUGGCGGACGGCUGAUUAACACGUGGGAACGUGCCUUUAGGUUCGGAACAACUCAGGGAAACUUGUGCUAAUACCGAAUGGGCCCUUCGGGGUGAAGAUUUAUCGCCUUUAGAGCGGCCCGCGUCUGAUUAGCUAGUUGGUGAGGUAAAGGCUCACCAAGGCUACGAUCAGUAGCUGGUCUGAGAGGAUGACCAGCCACAUUGGGACUGAGACACGGCCCAAACUCCUACGGGAGGCAGCAGUGGGGAAUCUUGCGCAAUGGGCGAAAGCCUGACGCAGCCAUGCCGCGUGGAUGAUGAAGGUCUUAGGAUUGUAAAAUCCUUUCACCGGUGAAGAUAAUGACUGUAGCCGGAGAAGAAGCCCCGGCUAACUUCGUGCCAGCAGCCGCCGUAAUAC